AUUGAACGCUGGCGGCAUGCCUUACACAUGCAAGUCGAACGGCAGCACGGACUUCGGUCUGGUGGCGAGUGGCGAACGGGUGAGUAAUAUAUCGGAACAUACCCUAGAGUGGGGGAUAACGUAGCGAAAGUUACGCUAAUACCGCAUACGAACUAAGGUUGAAAGUGGGGGAUCGCAAGACCUCAUGCUCAUGGAGUGGCCGAUAUCUGAUUAGCUAGUUGGUGAGGUAAAGGCUCACCAAGGCGACGAUCAGUAGCUGGUCUGAGAGGACGACCAGCCACACUGGAACUGAGACACGGUCCAGACUCCUACGGGAGGCAGCAGUGGGGAAUUUUGGACAAUGGGGGGCAACCCUGAUCCAGCAAUGCCGCGUGAGUGAAGAAGGCCCUCGGGUUGUAAAGGCUCUUUUGUCAGGGAAGAAAAGGUUGUGGCUAAGUAUCCAUGACUCAUGACGGUACUGAAGAAUAAGCACCGGCUAACUACGU
rnacentral:rRNA from 1 species